UGAACAAAGGUAAGUUUGCAUUAAAAAAAAAAAGUGAAAACAAAAAUAACUAAUGAAUUAUUUCUAUUUAAUCUUAACCCAAAAAAAGUAUAGUCUUACCUUAUCAAAAUUAUUUCAUUUUAUUAUAUUUCAUGAAAAUUAACUAACUUUAAUAUUGUUGAAAAAUCGGAUUUUUUGUCCAUAUUUUAUGAAUUUUUGGUUAUCCUUGGAUCGGCAUGCUCCAUGACGAACACUGCCCUAGUUUCACAUGGUUUGCAAUCCACGCUCCACGCGUUUUGAGCGAGAUGUCAGAUUGUCUUUUUGUCCAAAAUCAAAUGAUGUGGGGGUUGGGUUGUUGGCUUUGAUCCCAUGCACAAGAACUUGAGUUUGGAAUGGUCGACCUUCCCACUUGGGUUAUGCAGCCUAUGAUUUAAAUUUAAAGCAUAUAAUUUUUAUAUGGUAACUUUAUGUUUAUAUAAAAAAUGAAAGUAUAAAAAAAUUUAAUAGAUUAAUUAUUUUAUUUAAAAAUAAAAAAUGGAAAAGAAAAAAUUGUGAUUUCAUACAUGUAUUUGAAAAAAAAAAUCAUAAAAUAAGAACCCUCUAAAAAUUAUUCAAAUUUUAUUCACUCUCAACUCAAAGAGUACUUGAAAUGUUCAAAGGUAGUAUAUUUGACUAAAAAAUACUUUUUAUUUUGUAUUCUUUUUUUUUUUUUACGUGUAUAUGCAAAAACACUUUUCCCAAUUUAAAAAUGAUCGUCAUAAUUUUUGAAUUUUUUUAUAUAUUUUAUAUACUAAUUAAAUAUAAAAGAAAUAAAAGCUUAUAAAUAAAAUUUAAAACAUUUUUAAAUAAAAGGUCAUAUUCAUAUUUAUUUUAUUUUAUUAAAUUAUCCAAAUUAGAUAGAGGAAUAUAAAAUAUGUUUUUAAGUUUUGUUUAUUGUUAUUUAGUAUAAAAAAUUAUGUCAUACAUUUUUUUUAUAUAUAAAAACAACUUUAAUACGUGUAUUAUUGUUUUUUUAAUCAAUUUUUGUCUCACUCCAUUGAAAAAAUCCAAUCACUAAUACUUGUGUAGAAACUACUAUUUUUUAUCCUUACCUAUGAACUCUUAUUGUAUGCUUAGUUCUAGGAAAAUUAGAAAAAAAAAUGUGACUGAAAAAAAAAAUGAGGUGAAAAAUAAAAGGAAAGAAAAAUGGAAAGAAAAUAGAAAAUAUAUUUAAAAUUAAUAAAUUAUUUUUAUAUACCUUUUCAAGCUCACUUCACUUUUUUUUUUUCCUUUUUUAUAUAAAAAUUAAAUUUUAUAAAAUUUUAAUUAUAUUUAAUUUUCUUUCAUUAUUUUUUUAUGACAAACCAAACAUAAGAAAAUCAUUUUUGAAAUAUUUUUUCCUCUGAUAGUAUUUUUUGGAACCAAACAUAGUCUAGGAGAAAAACCAAAUAAUUAAAAUUGUCAUUAACUAUAUAAUUGAUGCAUAUAUUAUGAAAUGUAGUAUGUUAUCCUUAUUCAACUUUAAUCACUCGAGUUUGACAAAUUGUCAUUAAUUAAACCAAUGAGAUUAAAGAAUAAUCUCACAAUUUCAUUGGAAAAAUUAAAAAAUAAUGAAAACAAUAAAUAGAAAAUGUAAGAAAAUGGUAUUGACACAUAUGUAAGGUCAUGUUUUGUACAUGGAAAUGAAGAAUGAGAAUGAAUAAUUUUUUUUUCAUUUAUAUUUUUCUUCAAACAAAAAUGAAUUUGGUGAGACCAUUUUUUAAAAGAAUUAUUAAGAUUUAAAAAUUUUGUUUUAUUGUAUUUAUUUAUUUAUUCUUUACAUUGUUUGUAUAUAUAUAGGAAAGAAAAAGAGGAAAAAAAGAGAGAAAGGAAUCCAAGAAAAAAAAAAAAAAGAUAUCAGAUCAGCACUAGUAGCAUGAUGGUUAUUAUAUGCCAAAGAGAAAAUAUAUGAAUUCUGUGCUUGUUGGAAAAUUUGAUUUUUGAAAACAUACUAAAAAAAGUAAGAAAAAAUAAAGAAUAGAUUGAUAGAUAAUAAAUUAUUUUUUCACUCUCAUUCAAACUCAUUUUACUUAUAUAUUUUUCAUUUUAAAUAUAAAGAUUAAAUAAUUUAAAUUUUUAAUUUUUUGUAUUAAUUUUGAUUAUAUUUUAUUGAUAAAUUAAAUAUGAGAUUUUUUUUUAUAUAGCCUAAAAUAGAUAUAAAAAAUAAUAAAUAAAUAAAAAGUAAACAAAUAAGCAUAAAUGGUGAGGUUGGUGAGUGAGUCGGUGGAAUAUGAGAAUUUUGAGAAGAUGGAUAAGGAUGAAGUGUCUCCCCUUCGUCAAAGGUUUGACAUGAAAUAAUAAUAAUAACAACAAUAAUGAAAAAUAAAAAUUCUAAGGUCUAAAAAUAUUUGCAUCUUUUUGCGUAGUAUUUUUUAUUUCUUUCCAUUAUUUAUUAUAAAUUUAUUUAUUUAUGUUUCUUGGUUUCUCAUUUGUUAUCCUUUUUUGCAUUAAUCAAAUAUUUGAGCAUACUCACCUCACAUCACUUACAUUGUACAUGACUUGGGUAUUAGGAGUUGCACAGAAGAUCCAAGUUAUGGAUUCCUUGUAAAGUAAUGAGUAGUCUAUAGUCUUCUCAUGGAUUUGGGCAAUCCAUUUGAGACUGUAGUGCAUUAUCUCCUAAUUGGAGGGAUGACUUAUCUUGGUCAUCAGAAUGGUUUUCCCAUGGUGAGUGCACUAGUGUAUGUGAUGCACACUAGACAGGACCUAUGGUGAAUCAUGACAUAAGGUUAUCGAUUCUCAUGAUUCACCAAGAUACUAUACUAAAUGGACUCUCAACCUUGAAAGGAUAUUGAGUUUGUGACAAAGUCAACAGAAGGCUUUGACCUAAGGGUGAGAACCUAAAGUGGUCAUACAAAAAAAACAACUUAUCUAUAAAUUUAUUUCUUUAUGUUUCUUGGUUUCCUAUUUAUUAUCCAUUUUUGCAUUAAUCAAUUAUCUAAGCAUACACACCUCACAUCACUUACAUUGUACAUGACUUAGGGGUAUUAGGAAUUGCACAGAAGAUCCAAGUCAUGGGUUCCUUGUAGAGUGAUGAGUAGUCCACAGUUGAUUCAUGGGUUUGGGCAAUACAUUUGAGACAAUAAUGCACUACUUUCUAAUUAGAGGGAUGACUUGUCUUGGUUGUCGGGAUGGUUUUCCCAUAGUAAGUGCACUAGUGUAUACAAUCCACAUUAAAUAGGACCUAUAGUGAAUCAUGACAUAAGGCUAUCAAUUAUCAUGAUUCACUAAGAUGCUAUAUUUCAUGCACUUUCAACCUUGAGAGGAUAUUGAACCUGUGUCAAAUUCAAUAGGAGGCUUUAAUUUAAGGGUGAGACCUUAAAGUGGUCAUAUGUCCUUAUAGAUUGGGUCACUAUUGAUGGAGGCUGGUGGCAACAGGUACUCUCAAUAAAGGCACCAUAAUUUCUCAUGGAUUGAGAUAAUAUGUCACAUUGGGUGAUCCAAAAGAUUUAUGAUCUAGAAUACUAUGGGCAUUACAUUUUCUUUAGUGGAAAUUUGACAUAUGCUCAUUUGAGUUAGAGUAUGUCAAUUGGUUGUAUAAUAAUUGGGAUCUGUAACUCAAGGAUUGGAAAAGUAAUCUUGAUAGGUGAUAACACUACCUUGUUAGAUUACGGACACUAAUUCAUAGGAAGUUUGCAUGUAGUGGAUAAUAGGUCAUGAAGCCAAACUUUGUCUCAUUAUUAUUUACAUAGUAUACCAGAGUGGAAUUAAUUGUCUUUAGUGGAAUGUUGAAUCAACUUCAGAAUUGGAUUUUGAGAGAGUCGGUACUCCUAUGGGUUUUAACGGCCCCCACUCUGAGCACAUAUAUCAUGAUGACACGAUUUAUAAGGGUUGGAUUGGCUCUAAGUUCACUAUUAUGCAUAAAGAUGUUUUGGUAAUUACGCAAGGUUGCAUAGGGGAUAGUGAACAAAUUCUUUGGAUUGGGCUAAUUGAUUAAUUAGAUGACCCUAUGUAGUUAAUUAAUCAAUUAGGACCCGUUUUGGGCUAGAUUAAGUAAUCCAAGCCUUGGUGGGCGUAAGUUACUUAAACCUAAUAAAGGAACCUUAUAAAUACUCCUUAAGAGUUAAGGUUUCCAUUGUUUUUUUGGUGUAAGAGUCGUCUUCGACCUCUAAAGAGAGAGAGAGCCUAGGAUUCAUCUCUUCCAAAGCUCACACUUUGGAGUACCAAAAUUGUAGUUGGAGUUAUCGAGUGGAAGAUCUUGGGUGUACAAGACCUUCUAACUCUUUAGGUUUCAUCUUCACCUUGCGGAAUUGAUUUGGAAACAUCCAAAUCAAAGGUAAAGUUUUCUAAUGGAUUUUCUCUAGAUCUUAGAAUAUUAAAAAAAAUAUAUAUUUUUUGCUUCCAUUAUAUAGGAUCUAGAGGCCUAGGGCAGUUUACAUUCAUCUAUAUGAUCUAGGGCUUGGGAAAUAAGAGAUCUAAGGUUCCCAACAGUGGUCAUAGAGGAAAGCAAGGAUAUCUAUUCCAUGAGAGGCAAUGAACUUGUUGGAUCUUGUCAUAUUUACAAGAUGACGCUUCCUAAUUCUUAACAGCUUAAAGAGUCCUAUUUUAAGGCUUCAAAGAAUGAAGAGAAAUUGCCUGAAAAUUCUAAAAAAAAAGUAGGAAGAGUGGAACUUGCCCCAAUAUCAAAAUGAAGCAAAGAAGUUAUGAAAUUCUAUAGAAAGAUCAAUAGGAAACAAGACUCAGGAAAGGGCAAAACACUUGAAAAUAAUUUUAAAGAAAUAGAUGAGUGUGGACCCCGUAUUUCGAUCGCUCGAAUGCAUUUCCCACUCGAUGGCGAAACUCGAUUUUUUAUUUGAAAAAAUUGAUUUGUCAUUGAUUAAGAAAAAUGACUUGGAGUCGCCACUUAUUUUUGUUUUAUUUUUUUAAAGGGUAAACAAAAUAAGAAAGAAAAACUCUAUGUGUGACUCCUUAUUUUGGAAAAGGUGAUCUGCGAAAAACCGGAUCGGGUUCGGGGGUCAGGUUACUUAUCGGGAAGGUACGGUAAAAACCGUAGCACCCCUCUAAGUCCCUAAAAUCGGGUCUCUACUAAUGAGAUGAAGCUGACAUGACAAUCAAUGAGAAAAUCAAUGAAUACUCGAAUCAAUCAUGCACAUAUGAGUAUCAGAAUAUGCAAUAGAGGAUUACUGAAGUGGAAGUGGAUGCGUACCUGAUCAGCAAACGGCAACGUGCUAUCACAAAAUGAGAUUAGUGCAUAGUAAUGAACAUAAAGUAUGUCACUCCUGUCACCAAAACAGAUAAAGAAACACCAAUAGCACGCAUGAUAUUUCAUUCAAAAUUCAUUUUUAUUUUAAAGCAAAUUUAUUUGAUGUAGGGCCCUCACCAAAGCCUGUUUAUUUUUUGCAUGAAUUAAUUCCAUAAAUUCCAUUAUUUGGAAUUACAGAUUUUAAAUUCAUGUUUAUUUUAAAACGUUUUAAAAUCAUGAAAAAUUAGGAACAUUGCAUGCCGAAGAAGAAGGCAGCAAAUUUUAUUGGAAAACAGAUUUUUGAAGCCUAAGGAAAGCUAAGGAUGAAAAGUUUAGAGAUUUGAAAUUAUUUAAAUCCUGAAAUUCUGAGAAGCUAUUUACAAGGAUGGAUUGGAAAAAUUAUUUUCAGAGUCAAAAGAUGAUGGAAUGGGGGGUAACAUAUGACGUGAGAGUGGCCAGUGAACCAUACAACCGGACGUACACAUGUGUGGGCCCAAGGUAGAGUGAUGAGAUGGAGCAUGAAAUACCCAAUGAAAACGGGGCAGCUCUAGAGACAUCAAAUGCAAACAUCUUAAUAAGACCUUCCUUUACCAUAUCAACUUCUCUUUCCUCGUUCGCUAUCUCUCCGAAAACAUCUUCUGCAACUGGAUGCUGCACUUGAUGACAGGUAAUAGCUGACAUGGCCAGAUCAUCAACUACCCAUUUAAAGAUAUCGUCUUAGGCAACAAAAAUUAGUCUCACGAUCCGUCACUAUCAGAAUAUUGAUUCAGCCAUCUUGAACGUAAGAACCAAUUCUUCCUUCAGCAUGGACCCUACAAGCCUGAUAUUCUCAUUCAACUCGCUGAUCAAGGGUGACUUCAAUUCUGGGACCAAAUACAAGUCACUGGGCUGCAGUGUUCACGUAACAGAGGCUUUCCAGAUUAAAUAAAUCAGCACUGCGACCCACAGCUGCCACUUGCUCUUUCAUUCGAACAGUUCCAACCUCUAGCUCCUUCAUAAGCCACUGCAAAUUUUGUUGACUUUCCUUCACCAGAUAUGCACUGCCCACAAUAUCCACUUGUGAAUCUGUGAAGUUACCAAAUGCGAGAGACCCCAUUCAUUUGAUUCUCAAAACCCAUAAGACAUACCGGGUUGCAAUUUCACCUUGCUCAUGCUUCUUUCCCAUCUCUUGGCAACCUCAGCUUUCUUGAAAAUCUAGCGUGUCUCCAUCAACACUGGGAUUAUUUAGAUGAGAUGAAUCAUUGAAUUUCGUGGCCGCAAAUCCAUCCAUGCCCAAAAAGGUACUCCAGCAAACCCCCAUUCUCCACUGAAAUUCCUCAACAUCCUAUGCACUUCGCAUUCGGAGCAUACCCAGUGGAGUUGAACGAAGUGAGCUCACAGUUCCUCAUCAAAACCAAGUUCAAAAGCCUCAUUGUUAACGCGGAACCUCAUUGUAUACCUUCAGCUUCUGGCGCUUUUCCAAACAGCCAUGCGUGUUUACUUCGAUCACGCUGAUGCCUAGAAAGAGUCAUCUCCUUGUAGACGUACUAAAAAAAAUCCAUUGGUGCGCACUGUCAGAUGCUUCGAGCAUUGAGCUAUGUAUAUACAAAUCUGACAUGAGGAAAAUACGGCCACCAUCCAGGCAUAUACUAGAAGCAAACAACAGCAUCAUCGGUGGUCAUACAUUGACACUUGGCUGUCAAAUCUGAAGGAAAGUCUGAAUAUGAAGCAUGUUUUCCCCAAAUGAGCUUUUCAAGCUCCUCAUACCGUGAAGAAGAAUUUUUGGAAGGUGGUGAGGGAGUGUCCAUGUGCAUGAGACUAGGAGGACUGGUUUGCUGGGCGUGAUGGAUGGCUAUACAUGCGUCGCGGGUAUAGGGAUGGUGAUGGAUGGUGGUGAAGUCCAGUGGGUAAGAAUAGAGGAGGGAUGGCAUGAUGGAGGCACAGGCUGCCGACAGUGAGUGCUAUGACAUAAGGUAAGUUGACUGUGGAGACCAAAGCACUAUGGUAAGCAAACUUACAGAGAGGGAAAUGGGUUUAUGGGUAUGGUUGGGUUUGGAGAGAGAAAAUGGAUAUGAAGGUUGAUGAGAGAGAACGGAUAUGUGAAGGUGGUGAUGAAGGAUAAUGAGAUGACAGUGGCUAUAUAUGGGGUCCCUUAUACUUAGGAGAAGGAUGAAAUGAACCGAAAAUGAGUUAUAUGGGGUGAUGGGUAUGGGAAUGACGGCCGGGUUUGCAUGGUUCCCAUGCACAUGGAUGGAUGGAUCUGGGAUGUCAACAAGGGCUUUAGAAGGAGCUUUGGACAACCAUGCAUGUACAGAAAUAGGUAUCGAAGAGCAUUCAACCUCACUCUGAUCAUUUAAAAUGGGCAAGUAUCUUAGCAGUAGCAUCCUUCAUAGUGGAUUUCACCCAUACCCAAUCCACGAGUCAAAAGUGCUUUAAGUUGGGCAAAACCCAUCAGCAAUAGCAAAAGAAAGAGUUCUUAAGUGAUCAGCAAUAACCUCGUAUACCAUGUCAACUUUGUCUGUAUCAUCUGAUCCAACUUUCCCUGAAUAUGUAUCUCGGCGCAAGCCCCUCAAGGAUCAAUAUCACUCAUCUCCUAGGAAUUGUUGUUACAACUAGAGGGCAAUACGCGUCCAGGUGGCAGAGCUUGAACAAAAAAAAUCCCUAGCUUCAGUAUACAGAAAUGGACCAUGAUGUCUUAUCACCACCUGAUGAAUCUCCAGUGCACUAAUGCCACAAAACACACUGACCAAAUCUUUCAGAAAACACAAGCUCAGAACCAGGGGAUUUGCAUGACAAUACUGCACCUUCUUGCUAGCUGUGACCAUGAAACAAGGCGAAAAUCCAAAUGCAUAGUAGCCACUAAGGAACUUGGUCUAUUCCAAAUAGACACCCUGUUACAAUUUAAAGCUCGAUCUCAAAUGGGAACAGCUGCAGUCUUCAUUACAACCUCAUUUGCCAAGGGAAAUUGAUUUGCCUGAGAACUCCAUGGAAGAGAAAUCCAAUCAACCGAAAAUUACUUCAGUUGCUAUAAUUUUCACCCAUUGCAUCUCGCCCACUGGGAACCCUGAAUCUGUAGCAAUAGCUAAAGCACCACCCUCUCCCCUCAAGCACAAACCAGAGCACAAAACCAAUAGUCCAAAACAAAUCCAGAAACGUGAGCCAGAAACCAAGAUAUGGAUUGAGAUACCAGAAAUGGAGGAAGAAAUAAAACAAGAUAUAGUGUUCCCAUGGCAGAGUAAACAGAGUGAGCCAAGCAUUAAGUGGCAUCCCCUUUCAUAUUGAGAUCCAGGGGUUCUGACCAGUGAUUUAGCAGAAGAGUUUAAAACCAAUACCAAAAUGGGAGUGAGCCAUGUUAAAAUAAACAAAUACGAGAGGAGAGUAACACAGUAAUCACACUCAUAUCUGAACAAACAACUAAGGCUUAGAAAAAUAGAGACAAUCAAGUAGAAUGAAAGAUAAUAAAAGAAAACAAAAAAAAAAAGAGUGAUGAGUGAGAAUAAUCCAAGAAGUUGCAACAAACGUACCUGAGAUGCUCUUUCAAAUUUUCUUUCCUUACCCACUACCUUCAGCAAAACCAGUUUCCUUUUCUCUCUUACUCGAUUUGGGAAUGGCUUUCACUCUAGCUAGAAUCCUUUCCCCUGAAGCCAACCGAGCUUCUCCCUGUUUGUCCUCUCCAUCUCUCCACUACUCUCUGUUCCCUUCAGCUCUCUCACCUCCGUAGUAGCCUAAGCUCAAGGAAAUACUCUCCAGAAAAAUCUCUCUACCCCCUCCUUUCUUUCCCAAAAUAUCUCCAGGCUUGCAGCCCAAGAAAGUUCAAACCUCUCUUUUUUUUUUAACUCCAGGAUCCCCCCUAAAAAAAUAUCUCUCCCUCCUCUCUAAACAACCAAACAAAAGCUCCCCCUGGUUUUCUCUUCUGAACUCUCCUAAAAAAAACCAAACAAAAGCUCUCCCCCCUCCCCUCUGAAAAGCACCUUCCUCUCCUGCAAAUAUCCCCCUGGCAGCACCUCCUCUGGACCACCUCUCUCUCUAAAAAUAUCUCUAACGGCAGCACCCCGGACCACCUCUCCUAUUCUCUCCAGACCGAUCACCUUUUUCUUCCUGGUUCUCCUCCCUAGCUCCAGAAAAAUCCCCCUCAAGCUAAGCAAUCCCUCUCAAAAAAAAUAUCUCCCUCAUCCUGCAGCCAAAAACGCUCCUCUUCUGCAGCUGGCAUGCUGCUCCUCCAUAACAGAAACGUACCCCCUUCUGCAGCUCCCCUCCAACAAGUAUCACCUUCUCAUUCGUCUAUCAACUCCACUAAGCUGAUUCCACAGCAACCAACCAGGAGGCAGCACUUGGCUUUCAAAGAGCCCUCCAACUGGCAAGUGAGCUGCAAAAAUGAGAGAAAAUAACAUGCCCCAAAUGGGGGUCUACAAUGAGGGAUUCUCUAAAGGUAAAAAGAUUGAGUGUUUUAAUUGUGGAAGACUAGGACAUCUAUCUUAUGACUAUCCUAGUCCCAAGGAUAUUAAAAAGUCUAUGUAGGCUACAUAGAAUGGCAUGAACUCCAAUAAGAGUGAUUCCAUGGCUUUCUAAGGACUAUAGUAUGAUCGAAAUGAUUACCUUGCAUUUAUUGCUUCUAUUGAUUCUGAACAUGAUUUAGAUAGUGAGUGUGAAUUUAAUGACGAUGAGAAUGCUUAUUUUCUUGAAAAUAUGGUUGAUGAAUAUCAACAUUUGAUACAAAGUCACAUUAAAGUCAACACUACCUAUGAAUCACCUAAAUUUGAGAUUGGUAUGCCAAAUGAAGAAAAAAUGAACUAUUUUGAAAAUUUUUUAUUUCUUGAGACUGAGCAUCAAUCUCUCAUUGAGAGAAACAAUGUUUUAACUCAAGAAACUAAAUAUUGAAGAAAAUCUAUUUCUUCAAAAAAAUGAGGUAUUUCAUCCUUGGACAAAAAUUUUAAAUGAAGUAAUUAAUAAGGUUAACUUCCAUGGAGAUAAGAGAGGCAUAGGCUAUAUUAACAAGACUGAGACUCCUAAAAGUAGAGAAAUAUUUUUUGUUAAAAGCAAAUAGGAAACUCUUAGCCCUAUGGUGUCUUCUAGCAUAACUCCCCAAUGCACUUAUUGUAAGAAAUCAAGACACUUACAUGGUAGAUGCUUUAGCAAACUGUUUAAGAGGUAUGAGUCACAAUUAAAUAAGAUAGUGAGUAAAUCAAAAUUCCUAAAAAAUUAAAUUUUGAGUAUUAAGAAUGGAAAGAAAGACACCACUAAGCUUAGCACUUUGAAACGCUCCUCUAGUUCAUCAUCUAAGGUUAAACAAGUGUGGUUGAGAAAUGAUAAGCCUAAGUGCAAUGUGGUCUUUAUUGCACUAAGAGCGAGAAACCCUAGUGAAUAGUACUUUAAUAGUGGGUACUCUGGGCAUGUGAUAGGUGACAAGUCCUUCUUCACUUCUUUUGAAGAUUUUAAUGGAAGCAAUGCCAAUUUUGGUGAUGGUAACGUUGCCCGUGUGAGAGACAGUAGUGUAUCUAUUCCUAGAUGUCCUAAUUUAAAUAGAGUCAUCUUUGUUGAUGGACUAAAGGCUAAUCUAAUUAGUAUUAGUCAAAUUUGUGAUAGUAAACUAAGUGUUAAAUUCUCCUAAGAUAUGUGUGAAGUGUUUAGCAAAGAGGAAGAAAUCACUUUCACUAGGCAUAGAAUUAUGAAUGAUUGCUAUGCAAUUAAUUCGGGUUCUAAUACCUCUCUAGUUUAUAGUAGGGCCAACCUUGAUGUCUCAGAGUUAUGGCAUAGAAGGUUAUGACACAUUAACUGUAAGGACCUUGUUCACAUAGCGAAUAAAGACCUCAUUAAAGGCAUCCCAAUGUUUAGUGGACAACCCAAUGCCAUUUGUGGUGAAUGCAUGAAAGGUAAGCAAGUUAGGGGGUCACAAAAGAAUUUAGGGUAACAACACUUCUAGGCCCCUAGAUCUUCUCCAUAUAGACCAUAUGGGUCUUAUGCAAACUGAAAGCAAAAAUGGAAAGAAAUAUAUUCUAAUGGUAGUUUAUGACUUCUCUAGAUAUUCCUUUAUGUCUUUCUUGAGAAAGAAAUAUGAGGCUAUAGAGCAAUUGGAGAUUCUUUGAAGUAGAAUUCAAGUAGAGAAAGGGCAUCCUAUUGUGAGGAUUAGGAGUGAUAGGGGGAGAGAGUUUGACAUUGUAGAAAUCAAUCAUUUUUAUGACUUUAAAAUGAUAAAACUGAAUUGCCCCCUAAAACUUCCCAACAAAAUGUAGUGUCUAAGAGAAAGAACCAUGUCUUUCAAGAAAGUGCUUGAGUGAUGUUCCACACUCAUGAAUUGCUCCAAUCUAUUUUUUUAGCUAAAGCCACUAACACAACUUGUUAUACUGCUAAUAGGCAAAAACCAUGAUUAUUCCUCUUGAACUUUUAGUUUUUCAGUAUCAUUAUUUUAUUAGGUUGGAUUUACAUGCAGAAAGCAAAUUGGGUCUCUCCUAAUGUAUUCAAACAUAUGAUUUCUCAAUUUUCUUUCCUCCUCAAGGACUUCUAUAAUAUCAUUUUACAUUUACUAGGCAACCAUAUCAUGGAUUUCAAACCUAUAUUUGGAUAUUUAGAAUGGCAACAUCAAACUGAAAUUUCCUUCUUAAUAAUAAAAAAUAAAAUAAAAAACAGUUAUGAGAGUAUAUAUGGUUUUUAUGUUUACUAGUUCAUUGUGUAUUAAUUAAUUGAUGAUGUUUUUUUAUUUGAGCAUUUGUUUGAAAAAGUAAAUUCAUCUUCUUUUUUUAUUUUUAUUAAUCAUCUAAGUGGCUCAAGGUGUACAUAAAUCACUUUAUUAUUAUUUUUUGUAUGAUUUUAUUAUUGUUUUUUACAAGUUUAGUGAGAUAUAUUAUUUAUUUUGAAUUACAUUUUUUAUGAGUUUUAUAUUUAAGUAGAGAGUUUGUCAUAGCACCACUCUUUUUUUUCCCAUGUAAUACAAAUUUUUACUCAUAUUGAUAUAACUUUAUCAUAAAUUGUUUAGAGUAUAAAUAUAAAUAUAAAUGUAAAUAAAAGAAUAAGUUCUUCAGUUCUUAGUAGUAAAAUGAAGAUACUAAUAUCAUAGGAAAGAUUAAAAAAUAAAUACAAUUUGAAACUAAAGAGUAGUCCAAUCCAACUAAAGGUACUAACAUCCACCUUUCAAUAAAUUAAACUAAAAAAUAUAAUUGUGCAAUCCAACUAGAUCCACAUGUGCACCUAUUAAUGAAUUUUGAAUUAAAAUGGGUACACUAGGAAAAAAUAAAAUUUGAAAAAGAAAAUAGUCCAAUCCAACUUUAUCCACAUGUCCACCUUCAAAUAAAUUUAACUCAAUGACAUAACUUCAUUCAUUUAUAUUAAAUUUGAUCGAAAAUUACCUUUUCAAUCUUUAUUGUAAUAAUAUAUUUUUAUAGAACCAUACAAUUAUGUGUUUCUUAUUAUUAAUUAUAAAAUUUAAAAUCUUUUCACUUUAUUUAUUUAAGCUUUACUAAAGUAAUUGAGGAAAUAAGGAUGUGUUUGCGAUUAUUUUUUUAAAAUAAUUUAUUUAUCCUUGAAACAAGAAAUUAGUUUUUUAACUUUAAAAAUGUAUUUGACAAGUUUUGACCAAAAAAUAAAAAAUAAAAUAAAAUUUCUUCAUAAUUUGUUUUGAGAAAAUAUUAUUUUUUAUAAUAAAUUUGAUAUGUUUUCAAUUGCUUUUGGUUGAGUUUCCUAAAUAAAAAAAUAAAAUAAAAUAAAUGAAAGAUUCAAAAUACUUUAGAAAAUUUUGUAUUGUACAUAAAUAUAGAGUACCUUUAUAAAUAAUAGGUCAAAAAAAUUAUUUUUCAUAUUUGAGGUUGAAAUAUUUUUUUCUAAAAAUAAUUGAGAAUUGUUUUUAAAACUGGUUCUAAAUUUUUGUUUAUUUAUUAUAUUAAAAUAAUAUUAAUAUUUUCUUAUGGAGUUAAAAUGCAUGUUUAAGUAAACCCAAAUUCAUUCUUCUAAUAUUCAAGGUAAAAGGUAUUUAUCAAGUUUUUGUAUAUUAAAAUAUUAUUUUUCGAUAAAAAACAAGUGAAGAGUUGAGUGGUUUCUUAUCAUUUUUCAAAACAAUUUUAGUGUUGCUAGUAGGAAGAAAAUAGAGAAACAUAAAUUCACACCUCAAAAGUAGAAAAUAUCUCUCGUCUUCUCUUUUAUUUGCGACUAGAACAUUUUUCUUAAUUACUUUGCAUUUUAUAUUUUUUCUUUGAUAGGGUUCACAAGAAUUGUCUUGUAAGGAUAGGCUUUAUUUUGCUUGAUUUCUAAAUUGGGUUGACAAAUAAUAAGAGAAAGUUCUAGUAAUUUAUUGUUACACAUGUGAAUGUCCUAAGUUGGUAUAAUUUCUUUAAGGAAAUGGAUUACAUAAAUAGGUUAUUAAAAUGAUUAUAUGAAAUUAUCAUUACGGAAUUUUUUUUUCUUUUCUUUGUUUUUAAAUAAAGAUUAUUAUAAGAUUAAAACUAAGGAGGGUAUUGCAUUAGGUCUUCUCAAGUCAUCCAUGGAUUCAAAAGAAUGAUCUAAAUGUUAAGUUGUGUGGAGUCUAAUUAUUAUUUUAUUAGUAAGGAUAUUUUAAGUUGGGCUAUUUUGAAGAUUUUGCACAUGUGAUUUAGUUACCUUAUUUAUAUUAUGCAAGGGUAGACAACUUUGAGAGGGUCUUUUUUAAAGUAUUGAGAAAGAUUAGAAAAACGCAAAGAGAAAAACUUGGAUGGUGAGGUGUUUUGGGAUUCUCUUGUACAUUUUUUUCAUCAUAAUGAAAAUUUGCAGCAACUACAAGUGGACGUAACUCUCACAUUGAGAGUGAACCACUAUAAAUAUGUUACAACCCGAAUAAAAGAUCCCUAGAAUCCCUCAAUCUUUGGUUUCUAUUCCUUAUUAGUUUUUAUUUAGUAUAGGAAAUAAAGGAUCCUUAGGAUUAAUUUAUAUUUUAUUUAGCUUUUAUUCCUAAUUAGUUUUUAUUUAGUUUAGGGAAUAAGGGAUCCUUACAAUUAAUUUAUAUUUUAUUUAGCUUUUAUUCCUAAUUAGUUUUUUUUAAGUUUAGGGAAUAAAGGAUUCUUAGGAUUUAUUUAGUUUUUAUUUUAUUCAGUUUCUAUUUUUAUUUAGUAGUCUAUAUAAAUUAGGGAGAGUGUAAUGGAAAGACAAAAAAAUAUUGUCAAUAAGAAAAAUUUGUUAUUUCAUUUUUGCAUCUUCUCUUUAGGUAAUAAGAAUUGGUAUUAGAGCACAGUCUUGGAACCAAUCAUGUCGGAAAGGACUAGGGCACAAGGACAAUGAAGACUUGAAAAUACUAUUAAGGAGUUGUAAGAUUCAUUGGAUAAACAAGCAACCACUUUAUCACAAUUUCAAGAUUCAUCGAAUAAACAAGCAACUACUUUAUCAAAACUAUUGAGAAUUGUUGUAGCAAUAAACCUGAAAUUCGAACAUAUGACUCCUAGAAUAGAAGAGUUAGGUAAUGGGGAUAGUGCUUCAAUCAAUAGAAGUGGGAUAGGCUAUCACUCACAUGGUACAAACUCUUUUCAAACCAGGUUUUCCAAACUCAAUUUUCCAAAUUCUGAAUUGAGAAUCCUAGUGGGUAGAUUUAAAAAUGAGACAGACUUUUGAAAAUUAAUGGAAUUGGGGACAAAGAUAAGGUAAGAUUUUCUUCCUUACAUUUAGAAGGAAGGGUCUUAGAAUGGUUUCAAGGGUAUGAGGCUAGUAACAAGGAAAUCGAUUAGACACAGUUUUCCAUAAAUGUUGAUUCUAGGUUUGGCCCUAGUGUUUAUGAUAACCCUAUUAGGAAAAUAACCAAUUGAAAUAGGUUUCUACGAUUAGGGCAUACCACGAGCAGUGUGAAGCGUUGAUGGUCAAAACUAGUGGGUUAUCAGAGGAAUUUUUUAUUCAACGUUUCAUUAGUGGCUUGAAAGAAACAAUUAAAAAUCAAGUCACCAUGUUUUGAUGGAACACACUAACCCAAACCAUUGGGUUAGCCUUGUUGCAAGAAAGGACAAUGGAAGCAAUUUUCAAGGAAGUAAAGGACUCUAAUGAUAGUGGGGAGAGUACAAUGAACUCUAUGGGAAUCAAAAUGAAUCAAAAUAGUCGAUUACCAUCUAUUAAGAGGAUUUGAGCUGCAAAAAUGCAAGAGAAACGGGACAAGACUUUAUUAUUAUUGUGAUGAGAAGUAUGAACCUCAUCAUAAAUGUAAAAAGAAGCAAACUUUUCUGUUAGAUGGUUAUGAAAAAAAAAUGGAAAUGACAUGUGAAGUCGAAAAUAAUAUUAGGGACGAUGAUCUUGUGGUUUCAAUCAAUGCAAUAUUUGGUUCAACAUCUCAUUAAACCAUGAGAAUCUGUGGCAACAUCAAGAAGAAGGUCGUCACCAUACUAUUUGACUCAAGAAGCACCCAUAAUUUCCUUGAUCUUAUAAUGGCUGAAAGAACAGGAUGCUCAAUACAAACUACCAACCCCAUGAAGGUGGUAGUGGUGGAUGGAACUAGAAUUACUAGUGAUGGAAUUUUUCAGCAAUUGACAUGGAGCCUCCAAUGGAAGGAAUUUUAGGCAGAUUUGAGGUUCAUACAUUUGGGUGGGUGUGAUAAGGCAUUGGAAAUUCAAUGGCUAGUUCAAUUGGGACUCAUUAGGAUUUGAAGAACUUGAGAAUGGAAUUUAUUGUUGAUGGAAGGAAAUUCAUGUUGAGAGGUGCAACUACAGAUCCCAAGAAGUUAGUGUCAACAGAUCGGAUUCAAAAAGAUUCAAGGCGUAUAUCUCUAGCAUCUAUAGUUCAAAUUUUCUCUAUACAAGGGGAUGGGAAAAAUAAAGUUGAAAAUGUAUGAUAGGGCAGUUGUCCAACUUGUUUCCAAGAGACAUAACAUAGAAACAUGCUUACAAGAUUCAACAAAAGUUUCCUCAAUUUUAACCUUAAGGACAAGGCUUCUGAUAGGGGAGAGAAUGUUACAACUUGAAUAAAGGAUCCCUAGGAUCCCUCAAUCUUUGGUUUCUAUUCCUUAUUAGUUUCUAUUUAGUUUAGGAAAUAAAGGAUCCUUAGGAUUAGUUUAUAGUUUAUUUAGUUUCUAUUCUUAAUUAGCUUUUUUUUUAGUUUAAGGAAUAAAGGAUUCUUAAGAUUAGAUUUUAUUUUAUUUAGUUUCUACUUUAUUCAAUUUAUAUUUCUAUUUGGUAGUCUAUAUAAAAUAGCAAAAGUGUAAUGGGAAAAACAUGGAAAAAUAUUGUCAAUAAGAAAAUUUUGAUUUCUCAAUUUUGCAUCUUCUCCUUAGGUCAUAAGAAAAUCUCGUGUGUUCUUGUGCUUUAAUUUUUUGCAUUGGUUUAUUGUCGCUUUCAGAAAAUAGGAUUAAAGUGUUUUAAUCCUAACACUAAAAAAAUGUUUGGUUGAAAAAUAUAAUUUUUUUUAGUCUUUAUAUUAUAAGGAGAGAAAAAUAAAGCUUCUUGUGCUACUAUUUGUUUGUAUUAAAAAAAAACUAGUAUAUCUUACAAAAUUAUAAAAAACUUUGAAAUCUUUAUAUAUAUAUAUAUAUAUAUAUUAUAUUUUGCACAAUGUUAAUAAGAAUAACAAUUAUAUAAUAUGUAAUGAUAUGAUUAAUUAUUGCAAACUAAUUUAUAACGAUUUAUAUUAUUGGAUGAUGAACACAUGAGUCAUCAUGUCAUCUUCAUAAUUCUACCUUGAGAAAAGAAGAAUUACAUGAAAAGCUAGCUCACUUGAAUACAUUUAUAAAUAGAAAAUAUUAAUAAUUUUUAUAUAUAAUAAUAUUUUUCUUAAAAAGUAUGAAUUCACUUUAAAUCUUUUAAUAGAUCGGGGUUUUUAAAUAAUUUUUUAAGGUCAUUAUCUGUGUAAGGUAAUUUUGAAUAAGUUUUACAUUUUAUAUCAAAGUUACUAUUAUUUUUAUUUUUAAAAAUAAAAAACGAGAAGUGUAUCCAAACCACACUGUGGAUAACUAUUACGUUGUUGUGGUCCAAUUACUUUCAUGUGAUGGACACCUAUAAUCUAACAUAAUAUUAUACGUUUAUGUUCUUGUACCUUGUUGGAAAUGAUUUAAUACAAGGAUUAAAGCUAAAAACUAGUAAUAUUGAUAAACAAAAUUAGAAUAAAGGCAACAUAAGGUUUGAAAGGAGAGUUAAUGUAUUUGAAAACCCAAUUUAGGCUCGGUUUUAAAUAGAUGUGUUAUAAUAUAACACACAAAGUCAAAGUUUGAAAGCAACUUGAGUUAGCUUAUCAAAAGACUUUUUCUUGUAUAAUAACUUUGCUUUUCUAAUAAGCUCAUCCUCCUGCCAUUUAAAGUGAAAUGUAUGACUUGAUCUUACGGGAAGAUAAAACUAUGUGUUUUUUACUAAUGAAAAUUAAUUUAAUUGAGGAAUGUUGAAUUAGACAAUACCACAUAUGACUAAGACAUUUCUCUAAUCUUUUAUGCAUGUUGGCUUUUAGACUUGUUAAACCUUUUUUAUAAGAAAAUAAUUAAAAUAAUUCAUAAAACAUAGUGAUUAUAUGGAUGGUAUUAACAUGUAAAUUAGGUGACAAUGAAAAUUAAUUAUGACUUUAUAAUUGAUUAAUCUUGAAAGGAAUAACAUAUCUUCUUCCAAAAAAGGCUACACACAAAAAUUUGAUAAGAUUAAUGUAUUUUGAAAAUUAAAAGAAAGUUUGUGGCUUAUGAAUUCCCAAGGUAAAUCAUAAAAAGAAACGUUGAUAUUGAAGCAAACAUAGUUAUUUUUUUAUUUUUAAUUAAAGAACCGGUAGUACUUUAUUGUUUAACCAUCAAAUAAGAAUGAGAACUAAUUCAUUACCCCAAAUCAAUACUAAAUUUAACAAAAAAACUUAUGAGAAUUAUCUAAGUUUUAAGACUUAAUUUUAUUUACUCUUUAGAUUUCUUUAUGAUUAAUUUUUGGAAGUAUUGAUAGCAUAUAAACUUUGAUCAAUGAUGCUUUCAAAAGAAGAAAACUUUAAGAAGAAGUAUUGUAAUAAUUUUUUUACUAUUAUUUGUGGAUUUUUUUAGAAGUACACACAAAACCUACUUUGUGUUGGAUCGAUAAUUUUGUAUACAUUGUUUUUUUUUUUUCUUAAUCUUGUAUUGAGAUGGUGAAGACUUGAUCAAUUUAUUUGUCCAAAGGGAGUUUGGUUUGAUUCAAUAACCAAAAUCUAUAAAUUAAAUCUUGGAAAAAUACUAAUCCAACAUUGAUAAAAUCCUUUUAUUAACAAAAUUAGAAUAAAUAAAAUUCAAAUUUAAUACUCUCAUAAUUAAUUUUUAGGCUAUGUAAAGGAUAAGAAAAUAGUCUUUCUAUUAUAAAACUGACUAUAUGUAAUGAAAAUAAAUUUCAAAAAAUAGGUAGAAAAUGAUCUUCUUCCUUCAUGAUGAUGUCCAUAUUGCUUUAACCCAUAUAUGAUACAUAAAAAUUCUUUUUAAAAAAAAUUAAAUGCAGCUCUAGUAAAUGACUUCUUACAUCCAAAUAUCAUAUAUAAAUUUUACUUUGUAAAAGUGCCAUAAGGAGGUCUCAUAAACCAAUUAUUUUAAAACUUAUUCCUAAUCAUUUUCCUUCACUGUUAGUGGACCUUUCAUGCAGUGAAAAGUCCUACACAAAUUAAAUAAUGUUAACAAGUUGUUGAAUAUUUUACCCAUAUUUAUUUCUUCACUUAUACAUAUGUGAUAUGCAUCAUAUACGAUAUACAAAUUUCAUUUUCAAAAAAGCCCAUUAGAGUUCAUAAAAAAACUUCUCUCAUCCACAUUAAACUUCUCCAUUCAUCAAUUUCAUUUAAUUAAAUAAACAAAUCAAAUCCAUUACCUUAAACAAACAAUUAUUUUAGUAAAAUUCAUCCAUGGAGAGGGUGUGCAUUGCUCAAGAAAACAUUAUUAAUUGUGUGAUGAUUAUGAACUCCUAUAAUCUAGUUAGAAUAAUAUUGCUAGUUCUCAUUUACUCAAAAAUCCAUUUAUUUUAGUUUUUAUGCUUUACAAAAUGGCUUGAGGUUGUUGCAUAUCAUUGUUUUUCUGUUAAGAAGCUGAAUUGAAUGCUUUCUGGUUUGGUUAUGUAAUCAAAUUUGCAUCCACAAUUGAGAAUAUUUUAGACAUUAAACAACUUACUGAGUUAGAUUCAUAAUCCAAUAAUUAUUAAUUUUAAGAUUUGAUUAUUUAAUGCGAAUUCCUUUAGCAUUAUAUUUUAACAAGUAAUGAAAAGAUAUUACAAAAUUUUAUAGGUGUGGGAGGAUAUUAGAGUUAGGUGUAGUUCUUCUAGAAAAUAUAUUGAACACAAUAUCUUUGGUCAAAAAAGAAAAGGCCUAGGAUCAUUGAAUUGAAUAAGGCAAAAAGACAUGAUUAGGUAGGACAUUUAUCUAACCUUUUAUCCAUCUUGAUUCUUACACUUUGGACCUUUCUUAUAAAAGAAUAAUUGAAAUGUUAAAUACAAUGAUAAUGUGGAUGACAUUAAGAUAUGAAUUAGGUGAUGACAAUAGUUAUUUUAUCACACCAAUUCGCUUUUUGAAAAAAGUAUUGUUCAUCAUAUAUUACAACAUUUAUAAAUAUGUCAUAUAUCAUCAUCUUAACAAAAAUAUGAAUUUAAAGUGGAAUCACCAUCUUAACAAAAAUAAAUCCAAAGUAGAAAAAAGAUGUAAUAUAGCUAAAUGCUACUAAUAUAAGAACAACAACAACAACAACAUCAAUAAUAAGAGAAAUUGCUAGCGGAAGCAAAUGUUUACAAGAUGAGUCACAAGGCUCAAAACGUCUAAAUUAUUAAACUAAAAUACAUAAUAGAAAUAGACUAUAUGUCCCACGAGUCCAUCAAGAAAAGCAAGAGCUAGAUGAAGGUCUAUUAAGGAAAACAAUUGAGCUAGAUGUAUAGUGACUUGCUCUUUGAAACUAUUGUACUAAAGUCUUCACCUAAAAAACAUUAAAUCUACAAGAUCAAUUGAAUAGUCAUGAUAUAGAAGUGUUAAGAUGACCAAUCUACAUCAUACAUAGUUCUAAAACAUAUCAUAUAAUAAAUUUAGUAAAUAGAAAUUAGUAUAGAAUAGUCAUAAUAGCAUUUAAAGAAAAUAUGAGAUGUAAUCAUAGGUCUUGACAUAUCUAUGGUUAAUUCAAUGGCAAUAAGAAAGCUUAUUACUUGUGAAUCACCUAAUCCUUAGAGUCUCACUACCUUGUGACUAGGUUCUUCGAUAAUACUAAAAGUUCGAAAACCUAAUUCAAAGAAAUGUGUGGUACCAAUCUUGAUACAAAGGCGUUGGGGUUCUCAUCAAAGGUAAACAAUUGUGUAUGCAUGUGAUAUAAAUUAUCAAGUUUAGAUAAAACCCCUAGCUUUAAGGGCACAUGUGUGCACACACACACAAAAAUUAGAGAGAGAAUUGGGGUCAAUUUGUUUAAACGGAAUAUUAUACCAAACUGUAGCAAACUAAUGUCCAAACAAUCAUUUAUAAUCUUAUAAUUUAUUCACAAAAUUUCAAUCAAUAAUUUGAAGUGAACAAAUAAUUCAUAAAUUAAAAAUCAAUCCUCAUAUUGUAGGAACAUGGAGAAAUUAAACUUGCUAUUUUAUUUUUAACAAAUUAAUAUUGUUAAUGUGAAACCAAGGUUUGGUUAAUCUCGGUUUGAUGAUAACAAGACAAGGUUUGAAACUAAUGAUUAUAUUUCAAGUGUGAUUUGGUAAGAAGAUUUUCAAAGUAACAAUCACAAAGACAAAAUCAAGUCAAAGAGAAAUUAAUAAGAAGAAGAACCAAAAGAGAAGUGUUUUUCAAGACCUAAGUUUCAUAAGAUCUCUUUGUAAGGUUGAUGGUGCAUUAGGUUUUUUAUGCAUUACGCUCUUUAUUUAUGCACUAAAAUCAUCCAAGAGUUAUUUUGUUUUAAAUCUUUUAAAAUUGGAUGAUUUCUUGUUUUCAACUAAAACCUUGUGCCAAAUGGUUUCCAAACUUGUUUAAAAGGUUUUAAGUUGAAAAUGAUGGUUGUUGAGCCAAAAACGGAUCAACCAGUUGAACUAAAUGAGAACUAGUCGACACCUAGCUCAACUAGUCGAGGGAUGCAAAAAUCUUCUUUCUCUUCCAAAACGUUUAUUCAGCUGGUCAAGGUUAAACCUCAACCGGUCAAAGUCCAGUCAAGGGAUGAUUGAGGUCCAACAGUCACCUAUCAAGCAUUAAAUGCUAAUGGCUAGUCAAUCGGUAAAACCCCAGCUCGACCAGUCAAACCCCUAAUGGCUAGUUUAGUAUUUUUCCUCUAUAAAAAGGCUUCAAUCUUCAUUGUUUCAAAAGCUUAACUUUCCUAAACCUUUUUUGAAUAUAUUUAAGCCUUGGAAGAGAAUUUUUUUAAUACACUAUUGUUCUAAAACUUGCAUAUCAUUAGUGCACCUUUCAAUCCUAGUUUUUCUUAUAUCAUUUGAGCCUAAAGUUUUGUAUUGGGAUUUAGUGAGAUCAUUUAUUAUCUUCUUUUGUAAAUCUUUGAGAGGAAGAAUCUAAGUGUGAGGUAUCACUUAUGGAUUCUCAAGUAUGGGGUAUCACUUGAGGGGUUGUUCAAGAAUGAGGUAUCUCUUGAGGAUUGUAAAGGGUGCUUAGAGCCAAAAGUCCAAGAGGGUUGAUUGGAUCCAUAAUCCAAUUGUAUUGUUUGAAAGCUUGUAUUGGAAGCCUUGAAUUAGUGGAACUUCAAGCUUGGGAUUGAAGCUAGAGAAGAGUAGGUGUAGGGCAGGUUAUGCUGAACCACUAUAAAAUCUUGUGUUUUCAUUUUAUUUUCCCUACUUCCCUUACUUUAUAUGCAAUUGUUUUUAUAUUGUUUUUAUUAUACAUUUGUAUAUAAUUGUUUAUUGCAUUCACAUAAUAAAAAUUUUCAAAGAGAGACCAUCACCUUAUUCACCCCUGUUGUAGUAUGUGGCUCAUAUUUAAGCAAAAGGCAUAUGGAGAAAAAUAGGCAAAUAUCGAAGCAAAGUGGAGUGGAACAGAACAAAGUGACAACAUUUGCCAUUUAGGCUUGUACUUCUAUUGUUGUGGGCGAAUGAUAGGUUGGGAGGGUGCGGGAGACAACACCCCUACGGUACAAUUCAGGGGUAUUUUUGGAAUCUCAUUACCCAAGGGUUAGUAUAAAUACCCUUUUUAUGUAACCCUAAUUUUAAUAUAGUGAAUAUCCUCUUCCAUGUUUCCGUGGACGUAGGCAAUUAGCCGAACCACGUUAAAUUGCGUGUUCUUCUUUCUUGUUUUUCAAUUUUUCGCCAUUAAUCGUUGCACGGAUUUCAACAACCUCCUCUCUACGGUGAUUACCUUAGAAUGGAUUAGCCUAAUUUUUCUAAUAGUUAAAAAUUAUAAAUUAAUAUUAUAUUAUUAAUUUAUUUUAUAUUAUUUUGAAAAAAAAAUAUUACUAAAAUUGGGGAAGAAUAUAAAAUUUGGAGGGUACACUAAUUUUUAAAUUCGCCUUUUUAAAUUCUAUCAAUUCUAAGUUACACUAGUAUUACACUAUAUAAUAUUUUGAUGUCCUCAAAUUGUGGAUUAGAAUUAAAAAAUAAUAUUAUUAUUAAUUUAUUAUGUAGUGUUGGUAGUAGAGGACAUGGAGAAAAAGAAAGUGAAAGAAUUUAUCAUCGAACUUGAAGAUGAAAUUCAUGAGAUUCUAGGUAUGGUUAGUCGUUCUAACCAUGAUUGGUAGAAUAUUUAUGAGAAGGUGUUAAAUGAAAUUAGCUACAUGUAUGCAUGGAAUCAUCCACGUGACCUACUUCCAGGUAUAAGUUAAGUGAGAUUGUCUUGCGCUUAUAAAGUUUGUAAAAAUUGUAAUUAUUUAAAUUUUUUUUAAAUUUGUUUGGCAAUUUAGCUGCCAAUGCAUAUUAAAAUAGGGUUUUCUAAAUGUGCAGGUGCAAGAAUGUCAACAUUAUGAAGAAAACUAUGAAGAGUAGUUCAUGGUGCAAAGGUACACAAUACACAACCUAGAACUGAAGUGCAUGAUUAUGGUUAUUCCUUAUUCAAAUAAGUGAAGGUCUUUGUACUUGGGCAAUUGUAUUUGCAACUUAUUGAUUUUUUUUAAACAGUGUCCAUUUGUUGACAAAAACAUAUAUAACUAAGCAACAUGUUAUAUUCUGAAAUAUAUUUUUUAUGAUUUCUUUUUUGUUUUUAACAUAUAUUGUCUAUAAUAUUUUUGUACCCUCUUUACAUUCACAUGGUAAAUUGAUUUGCAUUGUAAGUAAUUAAAUUAUUUCCAUUACAUAGUUUAUAAAUAAAUUAUUCCCAUUGAAAAUUUUAUUCACAAGGUAAAUUGAUUGGCAUUGUAACUAAUUAAAUUAAAUUAUUUCCAUUACAUAGUUUAUAAAUAAAUUACUCCUAUUGAAAAUUUUAUUGACGAGGUAAAUUAACUUGCAUUCUAAACAAGUAAAUUAUUUCCAUUGUAAAUAAAUUAUUCCCAUUGUAAAUUUUAUUGACAAGGUAAAUUAACUUGCAUUCUAAACAAGUAAAUUAUUUCCAUUGUAAAUAAAUUACUCCUAUUGAAAAUUUUAUUGACGAGGUAAAUUAACUUGCAUUCUAAACAAGUAAAUUAUUUUCGUUGUAAAUAAAUUAUUCCCAUUGUAAAUUUUAUUGACAAGCUAAAUUGACUUGCAUUGUAACUAAUUAAAUUAAAUUAUUUCCAUUACAUAGUUUAUGAAUAAAUUAUUUCCAUUGUAAAUUGCAUGAUAUUAAAUUACAUGAUAUAUGGAAAUUUCAUUUAACUCAUACGCCCUAAAGGCAAUUCGAGGGCCCAAAUCAUAUUAUGAGGAAGACUCCUACUAGAAUGAGAGUGGGUAUGCUCGAUGGUCGACUGUUCAUUGGAAUGACUAGCCGAAAUCCAAACAUCCAACUAUUUCGAUUUUUAUGCCAUUCUUUAUACUAAUUGAGGCGUUUUUCUUAGGGAACUUGGAUCAGUAGUUCCUAUCUUGUUCAUGGCUUAAAAGCCCCCUCAAUAUGAACAUCAUUACCCACAAUACGUGAAAAUCAAACCAUUAACCCACAAUCCAUAGCCAUGGCACCCAAACGACCUCUAGCAAUAUAGGACACUAGGAAAGACAAGAAACCAGUAGUUAAAUGCGAAGCUAAGGUUUGGAAAAAUGCGACAUUUGAUACCAACAUGUUAAGAAACCCAAAGCUACCAAGGAUAUUCUCUUUAUAUUUCUCCAAUAUAUGUGUCACUCCAGAUAGGAACACUAACUUUUCUGAGUUAGGUCAUUUCAGAUUUGAUCGUCUUUUUCCACAGAUGGGAUGACUACCUAUUGUGUCCCUAAAAGAGUUUGUUUAUCCAAGGCUAGUUAGAUGUUUCUAUUCCAAUAUGAAAUUCUAGGAAGAAUGAUCUAUUAUUAUAAGCAUGAAUGGUAUAGAAAUAAGUUUGAUAUUCAUGAGCUUUAUAGGAUUUUAAUGAUUCCAAAUGAUAGAUUGUGUUUAUUUGAAUAAAAAAAUGCCCUAAGGUUCAUGGUUUUCAACAUACCAAAGCCAUUAUGACUAACCGACCACCAGCUCACAACUUGAUUGUAUUAAGUAGAAUUCUACAACACAUUAUCAGUUACAUAUUCAUUUUGAAGGAUGGACAUUGGGUCGAUGUUUCAUUUUUUGAGGUGUUUUUGAUAGACAAUAGUUCAGAAAAUUAAUAUGGGUUAUAUUAUUUUCCAACAUAUGAAAGUGAAGAUUUUGUCCUACUAUAUGGAAUGUUUACCAUCAAGAUCAUGACUUUAUUUAAUGUUAAUUUACGCUAAGAGACUAACACUAAAAAGUUGAAGUUGUUUGACACUUACAAUAUCGCCUCCCUUCAUUAUAUGCACUUUGAGCAUAAGUCGAAUAGUACAUGGGGAAGGAAGUCUUCUAUGGAUCUUGUGGGGGAAGAGGUGAUUUCAAAGGAAGAGGAUAAGAAUUGCAAAAUGGAGGGAGGAGAUAGCCAAGAGGGCAUUGGCACUAAAUUAGAAAAGAAAACUGAGAUAGCCUCUAAUAUUAGAGUUGAGCAUACAAUGCCUCAAGUUAGAGCAAGUACAGAGGCCUUUGUUGAACAUCUUAUGCCUACACAUAUGAAAGAUUCUGAGUCUUUGGAUAACUUGACCACAAAAAUAAGCUCCAUUGGUACAUGUUUGGAGGAAAUGGCUUUGACGAUUGAUGUCCAUUUUGUUGGAUUUAAGGGUAUGGAAACAAAUGAUUAGCCCAAAAGACACAAACAAAUAACAUAAUUAAUAAGAAGAAAAACUUAUCAGCUAAGGCGUGACAAAUAUUGUCCUUGAAAUAGAUCCACCCUCCUUAAAGACGAACUCGGUGCAUUAGGGUACUAGUGGUCUACCUUCAGGAUUCAAUAGCUAGAUCUCGCCUUGGGUGCACUCUGUAAGUGAGAUGUGUACAGCUCAGGUUUUGAAAAAAUUCCUCCAGAUAGACGUAUGAAAAGACCCUCUGAAAAACUCUCUAAAAAAUUCUCUGAAAAUUUGGUAUUCGUAUUUAGAAAGUAAGGGGUGACCUGCUUUUAUAGGCCACUAAUACAGUCUCAACGGGACUCUACUUGUAAUCAGAACAUGACUCAAAAUGGAAGGUGAUUCUACUUAUAAAAGGAAUGGGGCUCCACUAGCACAAUCCCAAUAGGACUCUUCCCAAAAAUAUAAGACUAAUAGAAUAAAAUAAAAUAAAAAUAAUCCACAAUAAGACUCUUCCCAAAAAUAAAAUAAAAUAAAAAUUACUUACACUCUUCCUACAAUCCCCCACAGAGUGUAAACGUGAUUUUUUUUUUCUUUUUUUUUAGGAAAAAAGAAUCUAAUGCAUCAGUACUGGUGCCCAAAGGCUAUAAACCAAUCUUAGAACAAAUAAGUAUUGAAUCACAAAACACGGUGAAAAUAAAUUUCUAUGAACCAAUGUUUCUUGAUGUAACUCAAGGGACUUUUAUUCACAUUGGUUUUCUCAACUUUACUAUGAUCUGUACAAAAUGGGUUGGCACAAAUAGGUCAUGCACCCUGCCUAGAUAUUCAUGAGAGCUCUAGAAAACCUGCCUAAGUUCUCAUAGGAAGUGACCCCACCUCCACUCUCAUAUGGUGAAUCCAUCAAGUAUGUUCUACCUUUAAACAUACCAUCCAUAAGGAAUAUGGUAUUCAUUAAGAGUAAACACUCAACCUUAGUCAAUGCAGAAUAUACUCUAUCUACAUCAUAAGGAUAGACUCUCAUACAAUUAGAGUUGAUAGAGCACCUCAAGUCAACAAGUGAUUUGUUAUUACCCAUAUGAACCUACUUCAUGGAAUUUCCAUUCUAAUAGGUUGGGUUACCACCACUCUUGACUUCUAUAAUAGGCAUAAGCCCCAUUCCCCUCAAUGUUUCUUCCACUAGUUUCUUAUUUAAUGGUUUGGUCAAAGGAUAUGCCAAAUUCAACUCUAACCUCACAAAUUCUAGCGAUAUAACCCUGUUUCAAGCAGCUACCGCACAAUAUUGUGCCUUAGGCGUAUAUGCCUGUUUUUCCCAUUAAAUAUUUUACUCUUAGCCUUAGCAGUUGCAACUUGGCUAUCACAAUGCAUAGACACAAAUGGGGAUGGUCACAUCCAUAAAGGGAUAUCUACUAAGAGGUUUCUAAGCCACUCAACCUUAGAACUUGUCUUUUCUAAGGCAAUAAACUCAACCUCCAUAGUAAACCGAGUAAUGCAAGUUUUCUUGGCAGACUUCCAAGAAACUGCACUUCCACUAAGGAUGGAAACAUAUCCACUAGUGGAUUUCAUCUCAUUUGAAUCCGAGAUCCAAUUUGCAUCAAUAAAUCCUUCAAAGACACUUGGAAAUCCACUAAAGCACAAACCAUAGUUAAUGGUGCCUCUAAAUACUUAAGGACUCUACGAACAACAGUUUAAUGGUCCUGAUUAGGACUUUGGGUGUACUGACUCAAUCUUUCUACUACAUAAGCAAUGUCAGGUCUAGUAUAGUUUAUUAAGUACAUUAGGUUUCCUAUGAUCUGAGCAUACUCUAUUUGGGCAACACUAUGUUCUCUAUUUUUCUUCAGCUAUGAGUUGGGAUCAUAAGAAGUUGACACUAGUUUACAAUCAAAGUGUUCAAACUUCCUUAGGAUUUUUUCAACAUAGUGCUCUUGAGAAAGUUUAAGCCCAUUAGGUGUUCUAUUUAUUUUAAUUCCUAGAAUCACCUCUGCCUCUCCUAGGCCUUUCAUAUCAAACUUAGAACCUAGGAAUUUCUUGGUCUCACACAUAACCUCUAGGCUAGUUCCAAAGAUCAGCAUGUCAUCAACAUAAAGGCAGAUAACUACACAUGUGCUAUCCUCAUACUUGUUGUAGAUACACUUAUCAGCAUCAUUAAUGGAAUAUCCAUUAGUUACUAACACAUGAUCAAACUUGUUGUGCCACUGUUUGGGAGCUUGUUUUAACCCAUAUAGUGAUUUAACCAACUUACACAACUUUUUCUCCUUCCUUGGAACUACACAACCCUUAGGUUGUUCCAUAUAAAUUUCCUCUUCCAAAUCCCCAUUCAAGAAUGUAGUCUUAACAUCCAUUUGGUGUAUCACCAAAUUAUGAAUGGAAGCUAGAGCGGUCAAUACUCUAAUUGAUACUAUUCUAGUCACAGAGGCAAAGAUGUCAAAGUAAUCUAUAUUAUUUCUUUGUUUAAAGUCUUUGGCAACUAAACGAGCUUUAUACUUCUCUAUGGACCCAUCUUGUUUUAACUUUCUUUUAAAGAUCCACUUACAACCAAUAGUCUUGCACCAGGAGGUAAAUCUACUAACUCUCAUACAUGAUUGAUUCAAUUUCACUAUUAAUGGCCUCCUUCCAGAAUGGUGCAUCACGAGAAGUUAUAGCUUCUUUGUAGGAUCUAGGGUCAUCAUCCAUUAGGAAGGUGUAGAAACCAUCUCCAAGGUUUAUUUCUUUCCUAUCUCUUUUACUCCUUCUAGGUUCAAAUUCAAAAGGUUCAAUAGACUUGUCUCUACUUGUGUUUUGAACUUGUUGUUCACCAUUUAGUUUCAUAGGAAAGAUGUUUUCAAAGAAAUCUGCAUUCUUUGUUUCUAUUAUAGUAUUGACAUCUACAAGACUGUUUUCUGACUUAGUAACAAGAAACCUAUAUGUCGCACUAUUCUCAACAUAGUCAAUGAACAUUGCAUUAAAGGUUUUAGGACCUAGUUUUCAUUUUUUAGGUUUAGGAAGAAGAACUUUAGCUAAACACCCCCACACUUUCAAGUAUGCUAUAUUAGGUGCAUAACCCUUCCACAACUCAUAAGGUGUUUUACCAGUUUUCUUGUAAGCUAUUCUAUUUUGAAUAUGGCAAGCGGAUAGGAUAGCUUUCCCCCACAAGUUCAAGAGUACUCCUGAACUUACCAACAUUGCAUUCAUUAUUUCUUUUAAGGUCCUAUUUUUCCUUUCUACUACUCCAUUAGACUCAGGGGAAUAAGGAGGAGGAGUUUCAUGAAUGAUCUCAUGAUCUUCACAAAAACAAUAAAGGGUUGGACUCAUACUCUCCUCCCCUAUCAGUUCUAAACCUUUUAAUUUUCUUAGUUGAUUUUCCACUUCAUUUUAGUACUUGAUGAAAGCAUCUUUUGCUUCAUCUUUGUUUCUCAAAAGAUAUACCCUUGUAUACCUUGAGUAGUCAUCUAUGAAAGUUAUGUAGAAUCGUUUACCACCUCUAGUCAUCGUAUUUUUUAGGUCUCCUAAGUCACUGUAUAUUAAACUUAGUAGAUCUGAUUCUCUUUCAAUUGAUUUGCAAGAUUUCUUUGUGGUUUUAGAUUCUACACAAGAUUCACAUUUUCCAUGGUUUUCUAAGGACAAUUUAGGGAUUAAACUCAAUUCAACCAUUUUCUUCAUAUACGAAAAGUUCACAUGUCCUAGUCUACCAUGCCAAAUAUCACAAGAGUCAACUAUGUAAGCAGAAGAAGAAGAUGCAUUAUUAUUGAUAAUAUCAUAAACAUUCAAUAUAAAUAAACCCUAAUUACAAUAGUUUUUUCCCACAAAUGCAUCGUUCUUGGUUAAAACUAUUUUAUCAAAGUCAAACUAGAUCCUCACUCCUGCUUUCCCAAGCAAAGAUACUGACACCAAGUUCCAGCGAAUAUCUGGCACAUGAAGAACAUCACUGAGGGCAAGCACUUUUCCAAAGGUUAGCUUGAAGAGAACUUUCCCUUUGCCAAUCACUGGAGUAGAUCUAGAAUCAACCAUGAACACUUGUUCUUCUCCUUCCUUUAUAACGGUAUAGGAAGUAAAUGCACUUUUUCCCACAUAUGUGCCUGGUAGCCCCAGAGUCUACCACCUAGUCCUUCAUAUUGGUGACCAUGCUCACCUCAGAGGAGAUUACUGUUGUGAUCACCUCUGCCUCUGCCAGAUUUGCCUUUGAAUUGGACUUCUCAAUUCUCUUCCUAUGGCGACAUUGAGCUGCAUAGUGUCCAAACUUGCCACAAACAAAGCAAUUACCCCGUUUUUUAAUAGUUGAGUUUUGUACCUUGUUUGAUGCAUUGGGCUUAGUCCUAGAGUUUUGUUUCUUAGACCUAUUGUUUUUGGGUUUAGGUUUUUCUUCUACAACAUUAGCAUUAGAAGACAACUUCUUAGGUUUCUCAACAUUGUCCCUAUUUUGGUUUUGUUCCUCAAUCCUAAUAUGGAUUAUGACAUCCUCUAGGGAUAUUUGUUUCCUUUUAUGUUUCAUGUUAUUUUUUAGUCUUUCUAAGACUCUGGAAAAGUCUCUACUAAAUAACCAGCCACAAAAUGUUCGGGUAAUUUAAUGUCUUCAAUAGCUAAGUCAUUAAUCCACAAGUGGUAGUCAUGGAUUUGAGAUAAUACAUCUCUAUCCUUGGUCAUUUGGAAAUUUCUAAAAUUCCCUAUGGAAUAUUAUGAGUUUAUGCAUCUUCCAAAAUAUAUUUUUUAUUCAUUGCAUCCCAAAUUUCUUUUGAAACUUUAAAUUGACAAUAAAUAUCAAAAAAUUCAUUAGAAAGGGUACUCAGAAUAACAUGUCUAACUUAUUUAUUUCCAGUUUCCUAGGUUGGUAACAGAUGAGAACCAUCUUUUGAUUUUGGGUCAGUCAAAAUGUGUCCCAAGUUCACUACAUCAAUUGCAAAGAAAACCCUUUCAUGUCAUCUCUUAAAAAAUGUCCCAUUGAAGAGAUCAAUUUUAGAGGUGUCAGGUCAGUGUGAACUAGAAAAGCUUCCAUUUGGAUAUAUUUCAAGAUUUUGGAUUUAAGGGUAUGGAAACAAAUGACGCCCAAAAGACACAAACAAAGAACAUAAUUAAUAAGAAGAAAAAUUUAUCGGCUGAGGCGUGAUAAACACUGUCCUUGAAAUAGAUCCACCCUCCUCGAAAACGAACGUAGUGUACUAGUGUACCAGUGGUCUACUUCCAAGAUUCAACAGCCAGAUCUCGCCUUGGGUGCACUCUGUAAGCGAGAUGUGUACAGCUCAGGUUUUAAAAAAAUUCCUCUAGAUAGAUGUAUGAAAAGACCCUUUGAAAAACUCUUUAAAAAAUUCUCUGAAAAAUUCUAUGAAAAAUUGGUAUUCGUAUUUAGAGAGUAAGGGGUGACCUGCUUUUAUAGGCCACUAAUAUAGUCCCAAUGGGACUCUACUUGUAAUCUGAACAUGACUCAAAGUGGAAGGGGAUUCAACUUAUAAAAGGAAUGAGACUCCACUAGCACAAUCCCAAUAAGACUCUUCCCAAAAAUAUAAGACUAAUAUAAUAAAAUAAAAUAAAAUUAAUUCUUAAUAGGACUCUUCCCAAAAUAAAAUAAAAUAAAAAUUAUUUACACUCUUCCUACACAAUUGAUAUGGCCAUUUGAUAGGUUUCAGGAGGAUUUCAAUGUCGGUAUCCAAUAGCAUGAAGAGAUGAUGACAUUUCUCCAAGCCCAGUUCCCACCUCAUGACCCGACCCAGCGUUGACCUAUCCUAAAAUGUUGAGGGAGUAUAUAUUUAGCUUUAUUUUUUUGCUACAUUUUGGGAAUGUAAUGGAUUAUAUGGUACCAAAAUAAGCUCUAGUAAUUUAUAUACUUACUUGCUAAUGAAGAAAAAUUAGUUGGAUUUUAAAGACCUAUAUUGUGUGUGAAAAAGUUAAUUUAGCCUUAUGUGGUGUUUUUUAUAAUAAUAUCCACAAAAAAUUUUACUAAAAUAGAUUAAAUUAGAAUUUCAAAAACAGACCCACCUUAUUAGGAUUCAAAACCCAACUCUAUAGCACCUUUCCUUCCUUCUGUUUUUUGUUCUUUUCUUUUUUUAUGGUACCUUUCCACCUGUUUAAUAUUUUUUUGGCAACGGCUUAUUUUUUCUCACAUUUACUUUCUUUUUUUUUCUCUCUUUUUUUCCUUACAACUUAUUCCCUAUUAUUAUUAUUAUUAUUAUUAUUAUUAUUAUUAUUAUUAUUUCACAACUACUCCAUAUUAUUUUUUUUUGUACAUAUUCCUAAACAUAUUUCAAUUCCCCAAAAAUUAAAUUUAUAUUAUAUAUAUUUAUAUUUCUAACUGUUGCAUUUGUUUUCUAAAUUAAAUGUCCUAUUUCAUAAUAAAAUUUAAUUUCUAAUCAUAUACCUAUAUUUUUACCAACUUAAUUAAUGCUCCAAAACCAAAAUUAUUAAUUUCAAUUAUAAAAACUAAAUUAAUUCGUUAUAAUUUUAAAUUCAAUUUAUCUUUUAACAAUUCAUUAUAAUAAUUCGGCACUAGUUUUUUUCACUAGGUGGUAAGUACCUAAUAAUAAUUGCAAUAAUUCUCAAAAUAUACUUAAUAUUCAAAAUUUUAAAAUCUAUUCAACUAAAUUUUUAUCCAAAUUUAAAUUUAAUUUUCUAAAUUUCCACUUUUUAAGUCAAACAUGAUAAAAAUUUUAAACUAUUGACUUUUGACCGACUUUUAGAAGAUUUCUUCCAAUAAAAUAUUAACAUAGGUCUUUACUAUUCAUUUUGACCAUUUGAUAAACAAUUUUAAGAAAAACUUUUCUAAUCUCUAAAUUUGACGUGUCAUUAGCAACCCAAGUAUGAGAACAUAUUUCUAAAGUUUUUGAGGUAAUUUAGAUUAUUUAUUAAUAAUUAUUCGAACCAUAUUUUUUAACCUACUGAUUAAUAGUACAUGCAAUGCCUAAGACAAAGAAGGUAUAGGUAUUGUAGAGUGUGCCUCAUUGAGAAGGAGGUCGAAUUCGAGACUGACCCCAUUGAUCAUAUCAUCAAAGGACAGAACAAGGAUCCUGAAUUCCUCAAGUUACAGGUUUUAAUCCAUUUCUUAUGGUUGUUUAAGCUUUGUUUUGAGCUCAGGAACAAUAUAAGAAACGAGACCUUGGUAAUUUUGAUGAAGUCAACAACUGCUCUAGAGUUGUAGGUCUAUGUAUUCUAUUAGUUUUAAGGCUAUACAGCUUAUGAGGAAUCGUAUCACAGUCACACAGGAACUGGGAACAUCAUCAUUCUCUUUAUUAUAUAUCAAGCAGUUUGGAAUAAUACAAUGCAGCAAGUAAUAAUGGUAGUCGAAGUCAUUGUGAGGAAAUACAACUAAGAGUGUCACUCACUUUUCUUUUCUGACCUAUCUGAUUGAUCCUCCAGAAGCAUUAGACCUAAUUACACAACUUACAUCCAUUUCCUCGUUCCUUUUAGGAGAAGACAGCCGGUGUUUCGACCAUUCUUCCAAGGCUUUGCGAUGGAGGGCAUUCAUUUGAAUAUAAGGUCGUUUUUCUCUGAUUAACUUCUCAGCGUUUUUCCAAUCUUCUGCCACGCCCAGAGCGACUAAUAGUGCGCACAUCACACAAACACUUCUUCCAUGACCUAAAGAAAACAUAAAAGGAUCAAAAUGUGGAAAUCUAUUUGGUAAAAGACAACCAUGUGUGAGAACGCUAGCAAGAAAGUAGUAAGCACCAAUAUGAACGAUAACUAAACAUAAUGGAUUCUAAAUUUCAAAUGAAAUCAUUCUUAGUUGCUUCUAUGGAUACUGACAGCAUAUGGGAUUGUGACAUUAAACAAGUCCAAGUUACAACAGCCUGCUUCAACCAAAAUGACAAAGGAGCUUUCUUGCUUCAGGGUUCAUGCUCAAAGAUUAUGGAUGAAUUUCAAAAGUGGUGGUUCUGUUGACAUAGAACUGAAAUCCUAAAUACAAGAAUUUGGAAGGUCAAAUAAAAGAAAUCUCAUAUAAGCAACGUUAAAGUGGCAUAAGCUUGGCCUUUUGGGAUAUGGAAAAGAGAAACAUUAUUUAAAUUAAAGGAAGAAAUACAAAGAAGGAUGUGAAUAUGCUUUGAAAAGGAAAAGGACCCUAAACAAAGGCUCAAUACCCCUACACUCUGUAAUAAGGGCAAUCAGACUGGCACCUACUCCAAACAGAUCAGACUAAAUUGGAAUGCAUGCAUGCUCCUUCGUUAUACAUAAUACCCAAAAUAAGUCAAGAAGCAUAUUACUUCCCACAACUCUGUUAAAGGUCUAUGUCUAUUCUUAAAUAUCCCAGCAUUCCUCUCCAACUAGAUAAGCUACAGUAUGGUAAGCAAGGUGCAAUGUUCAAAAGUAAGUUACUCCUAGAACACCCACCUAAGCCCUAAAAGAAAAUAACAAAUAUGUUAUAAUUUUUUUUGGAGUCACCCACCGAAUACCUAAUAAAGAGAAAAUAAAUUGCCACAACAUGCACAAAGGGGACAAUUAAAAACAAGCAGUUUGGUGACUCCCACUUUAAGAACACAUCUAUCAGGGUUAUACACCUUGCAUCAAUCUCUUGGCUCCAUCAAGUUGUUGUACUUUCAUGAGUAACUAGCCCUACAAAGGCUUGAACUUUCAGGAGAGCUUUAGAAUUCCAACUUUAUUUGGCUGGUGGAAAAAUAAUUGAAUUUUUUAUUUUUAGAGAGGAAAACAAAGAAGGAUUUAGGAGAAAUAGACCUACCCCAUCCAAGCCCAAUUUUGGUCUCUUAUCCAAGGAAAGUGAGAAUAAGACAGUAUUCUCAAGUGAUGAAAAGAGGGCAUCAAGAUCAACAAUUUCAUGCUGAGGUUUUCAUAAAAAUCAAAAUGUCAUGAGGGAGAAUUAGUGGGGAAGAAACAAAUGGGAAAAUAUGGCAGUUACUACACUUCGCAAGAGCAUAAAGUCAAGGCUAUCAACAAAGAGGAUGAUCUCCACAUCAUGGAUCCUCCUAUAAUCUAAUCCUAGAUCUAUUGUCAACAUCGAAUUGGAAAAGAUGAAGAAAGACCCAAUACCCAUAUGAAAUAUCUGUUUAGUCUUUGAUAUGAACUCUUGACCCCAUUAUAGGCAUCACAACCAUUAGCCCACAACCCAGAUUUACUCUCAAUAACAAAAUGCCAAAGAGAGGCUUGCACCCUAAGUAAUCUCCUCGACCACUUAACCUUGAAGACUCAAUGGAUUGAAAUUUCUCCCCCAACCACAAACUCCCUGAGCCUUAGUCUUGCACCCUAAGGAAUCUCCUCGACCACUUAACCAUGAAGACUUAAUGGAUUGAAAUUUCUCCCCCAACCACAAACUACCUGAGCCUUAGUCUUGCACACCACUCCCCAUUGAAUAAAAUUAUCAAUGUCCAA
rnacentral:lncRNA from 1 species